ACUUAACAUCUUGCUUACACAUGAUCAUAUAUGAGUCAUGUAUUUAACUUUUUAAAAUUAUACUUUGACCAUUUUCGAGACCCAUCAAGAUAUCCAAGUGGACUCACUUUCUGGAGCCUAUAAGCUGUGUUUCCUAAGCAAUGCUCUUCCUGAAGUGAAUUUCUCUCCCUUCAGAGUGAAAGACAAAAUAGACUCUAUAUCAGUGUGUAUAAUCAAAUCAAGGUGGUCCAAAGAAAAGUUUCUCCUUGAUUUUGACCAUGAAUAAUGAGCUUCAGUAAUCAACAAGUGCUCUUCACAAUACAGGAUUCAGGAAAGGAGUGAGAACUGCAUCAAAGAUGGCCAGAAACUUACCUACAUGUCUGGAGGGACAUGGCCAUGUAUAGAAGAAUAUCAAAGGACCAAAGAACAGGAGCACCACAGUGAUGUGAGCUGACAGUGUGGACAGAGCCUUUGAUGAACCAGAGGAAGAAUGUUUCUGAACAGUGUCUGUGCAGGCAAGUUUGAUGAACUGAGGAAGGUCACAGUAAAAGCUGUCCAACACAUUAGGACCACAGAAGGGUAAGUUUACCACAAAAGCCAAUUGAACUGUGGAGUGGAUAAGGCCAGUCAUCCAGGCAGCCACUAAAAAGAAGACGCACAUUCUUGGGCUCAUGAUGGUCAGAUAGUGGAGGGGCUUACAUAUGGCAACAUAUCUGUCAAAGGCCAUGGCUAUGAGCAGCACCAUCUCCACACCACCAAUGACAUGGAUGAAGAAGAUUUGAGUGAUGCAGCCUCUAAAGGAGAUGAGUUUACGCUUUCUGAAAAG
rnacentral:lncRNA from 1 species